UGCAAAUCUUAGCCGUAACCAUU
rnacentral:siRNA from 1 species